GCGCGGCGCCAGCCGGAAGCGGCGGGGUGCUCGCGCGCACUGCGGGCGCCGGCUGCGCGGCGGAGCGGGCGCCAUGUCGGGCCGAGAGGGCGGCAAGAAGAAGCCGCUGAAGCAGCCGAAGAAGCAGUCGAAGGACCUGGAUGAGGCAGAUCUGGCAUUUAAACAAAAGCAGAAGGAGGAGCAAAAGAAACUUGAGGAGAUGAAAGCAAAAGCUGCUGGAAAAGGGCCCCUCACUAGUGGUGGAAUCAAGAAGUCUGGCAAAAAGUAGUUUGAUGAAGCUGCUGGAAAAAGUGUUAGAGUUAUUCCAUGGAUCUGCUGGCUUCAGAGAGUCAACAAAACUCACUGUCGUUUGAAAAACCUUGUACAUUUUGUUUAGUCAGAAUAAAACUUUUUUGUUAAGAUGUCA